rnacentral:rRNA from 1 species
CCUACGGGAGGCAGCAGUGGGGAAUAUUGCACAAUGGGGGAAACCCUGAUGCAGCAACGCCGCGUGAGUGAAGAAGUAUUUCGGUAUGUAAAGCUCUAUCAGCAGGGAAGAAAAUGACAGUACCUGACUAAGAAGCCCCGGCUAACUACGUGCCAGCAGCCGCGGUAAUACGUAGGGGGCAAGCGUUAUCCGGAUUUACUGGGUGUAAAGGGAGCGUAGACGGCUGCGCAAGUCAGAAGUGAAAGCCCGGGGCUCAACCGCGGGACUGCUUUUGAAACUGUGUAGCUAGAGUGCAGGAGAGGUAAGUGGAAUUCCUAGUGUAGCGGUGAAAUGCGUAGAUAUUAGGAGGAACACCAGUGGCGAAGGCGGCUUACUGGACUGUAACUGACGUUGAGGCUCGAAAGCGUGGGGAGCAAGCAGGAUUAGAUACCCUGGUAGUC